rnacentral:misc_RNA from 1 species
UCCUCGUUUAAGCGAGGCAGUCUGUCCAGAGUGCUCCAGACUCUCGUCCGGAUAGCAACAGGACACAAGGGUUGCGCUCGUUGCGGGACUUAACCCAACAUCUCACGACACGAGCUGACGACAGCCAUGCAGCACCUGUGUACACUGGUAUUGCUACCUCGUUGCCCUUUCAGGCUCCUACUAUAUACAUGUCAAGGCCAGGUAAGGUUCUUCGCGUUGCAUCGAAUUAAGCCACAUACUCCACCGCUUGUGCAGGCCCCCGUCAAUUUCUUUGAGUUUUAAUCUUGCGACCGUACUUCCCAGGCGGCACAUUUAUCGCGUUAGCUUCGCCACAAAAGGGGUCGAUUCCUUUUACAGCAAAUGUGCACCGUUUACAGCUAGGACUAC